UACGUAGGCAGCGAGCGUUGUUCGGAGUUACUGGGCGUAAAGGGUGUGUAGGCGGUCCCUUAAGUUUGGUGUGAAAUCUCCCGGCUCAAACUGGGGAGGGUGCGCUCGGAGUACUGAGGGGCUAGAGUGCGGGAAGGGAAAGUGGAAUUCCUGGUGUAGCGGUGAAAUGCGUAGAUAUCAGGAGGAACACCGGUGGUGCAAACGGCUUUCUGGACCGUAACUGACGCUGAGACACGAAAGACGUGGGGGGAGCAAACAGG
rnacentral:rRNA from 1 species